rnacentral:rRNA from 1 species
CCAGACAGCCAGGAUGUUGGCUUAGAAGCAGCCAUCAUUUAAAGAAAGCGUAAUAGCUCACUGGUCGAGUCGGCCUGCGCGGAAGAUGUAACGGGGCUAAACCAUGCACCGAAGCUGCGGCAGCGACGCUGAUGCGUUGUUGGGUAGGGGAGCGUUCUGUAAGCCUGUGAAGGUGUGCUGUGAGGCAUGCUGGAGGUAUCAGAAGUGCGAAUGCUGACAUAAGUAACGAUAAAGCGGGUGAAAAGCCCGCUCGCCGGAAGACCAAGGGUUCCUGUCCAACGUUAAUCGGGGCAGGGUGAGUCGACCCCUAAGG